rnacentral:rRNA from 1 species
GACGAACGCUGGCGGCGUGCUUAACACAUGCAAGUCGAACGGAAAGGCCCUGCUUUUGUGGGGUGCUCGAGUGGCGAACGGGUGAGUAACACGUGAGUAACCUGCCCUUGACUUUGGGAUAACUUCAGGAAACUGGGGCUAAUACCGGAUAGGAGCUCCUGCUGCAUGGUGGGGGUUGGAAAGUUUCGGCGGUUGGGGAUGGACUCGCGACUUAUCAGCUUGUUGGUGGGGUAGUGGCUUACCAAGGCUUUGACGGGUAGCCGGCCUGAGAGGGUUACCGGCCGGAUUGGGACUGGGAUGUAGCCCAGACUCCUACGAAGGGGAGCGGUCAGGAGUGUGGCCCAGUUGACCAGAGCCAGAUGCAGCAUCACCGCGUGCGGGAUGACGCCCAUCGAGGUGUAAACCGCUUUCGCCUGUGACGACGCGUGAGUGACGGUACUACGUAAAAGAGCCACGACUAAAUACGUG